UCUCCUCACCCGCCUGUUGCAAGAACCGUAUGGAGAUGGGUGUGGCCGGACUUUUCACUUUAUUAAAGUUAACUGUUGGGACCAGGAUUCUCUGGAAUCUCCUCAUCUCAACCUCAGUCUAACUCUGGAAAUACCAGGCCAGGAGGCAGACCAACAAAAAGAAGCCACCCAAAGUAAGAAAGAAAUAAGCAACAGGGGCGAUGUCCGGCCGAAUCCCCAGCAAAGCUAGCCCCAGGAGGAAGGAGGUGCAACACAGGAAGAGAAGCGGCUUCUGCAGAGUCCCCCACAAUUGCCUUGGCACCAUGGCCCCUCGCCAGGCUCCUGCAAAAAGACACACAGCUGUUGUGUCUAAACUAGCAAUUGGCAUCACCGCUGGGUUAGAUUUCAAAGUAAGCAUAUU